rnacentral:rRNA from 1 species
ACAUGCCUACAACAUAGGAUUAAUUCACCAUAUCCCAUUAGAACUUUGUAGUUAAGCACACUCAAGCUAGAGUAGUACUGGGAUGGGUGACCAGCAGGGAAGUCCUAGUGUUUUACAUGCC